rnacentral:rRNA from 1 species
CACGUAGGGCGCAAGCGUUGUCCGGAAUUAUUGGGCGUAAAGAGCUCGUAGGCGGUCUGUUGCGUCCGCUGUGAAAACUCGGGGCUUAACCCCGAGCCUGCAGUGGAUACGGGCAGACUAGAGGUAGGUAGGGGAGAAUGGAAUUCCCGGUGUAGCGGUGAAAUGCGCAGAUAUCGGGAGGAACACCGGUGGCGAAGGCGGGUCUCUGGACAGUUCCUGACGCUGAGGCACGAAGGUCAGGGGAGCAAACGGGG